rnacentral:rRNA from 1 species
CUUCCCAUCCCGAACAGGACCGUGAAACGCCUCAGCGCCGAUGAUAGUGCGGGUUCCCGUGUGAAAGUAGGUCACCGCCAGAC